rnacentral:rRNA from 1 species
GCAGCCGCGGUAAUUCCAGCUCCAAUAGCGUAUAUUAAAGUUGUUGCAGUUAAAAAGCUCGUAGUUGAAUUUCGGGAUCAUCAGGUUGGUCGUGCCUCUGGUAUGUACUGAUUUCGAUGGUUCCUCCUUCUUGUAGAACCAUAAUGCCAUUAAUUUGGUGUUGCGGGAAAACAGGACUGUUACUUUGAAAAAAUUAGAGUGUUUAAAGCAGGCAAUCGCUUGAAUACAUUAGCAUGGAAUAAUGAAAUAGGACGUUUGAUCCUAUUUUGUUGGUUUCUAGGAUUGACGUAAUGAUUAAUAGGGAUAGUUGGG